CCUACGGGAGGCAGCAGUAGGGAAUCUUCCACAAUGGACGAAAGUCUGAUGGAGCAACGCCGCGUGAGUGAAGAAGGGUUUCGGCUCGUAAAGCUCUGUUGGUAGUGAAGAAAGAUAGAGGUAGUAACUGGCCUUUAGUUGACGGUAAUAACUGAGAAAGUGCCGGCUAACGACGUGCCAGCAGCCGCGGUAAUACGUAGGUGGCAAGUGUUGUCCGGAUUUAUUGGGCGUAAAGCGAGUGCAGGCGGUUCAAUAAGUCUGAUGUGAAAGCCUUCGGCUCAACCGGAGAAUUGCAUCAGAAACUGUUGAACUGGAGUGCAGAAGAGGAGAGUGGAACUCCAUGUGUAGCGGUGGAAUGCGUAGAUAUAUGGAAGAACACCAGUGGCGAAGGCGGAUUACUGGACGAUAACUGACGGUGAGGCGCGAACGCGUGGGGAGCAAACAGGAUUAGAUACCCGGGUAGUC
rnacentral:rRNA from 1 species